GAUGAACGCUGGCGGCGUGCCUAACACAUGCAAGUCGAGCGAAGCAUUUUAAAGGAAGUUUUCGGAUGGAAUUUGAAAUGACUGAGCGGCGACGGGUGAGUAACGCGUGGGUAACCUGCCUCAUACAGGGGGAUAACAGUUAGAAAUGACUGCUAAUACCGCAUAAGCGCACAGCAUCGCAUGAUGCAGUGUGAAAAACUCCGGUGGUAUGAGAUGGACCCGCGUCUGAUUAGCUAGUUGGUGAGGUAACGGCUCACCAAGGCGACGAUCAGUAGCCGGACUGAGAGGUUGAACGGCCACAUUGGGACUGAGAUACGGCCCAG
rnacentral:rRNA from 1 species